GCACUCCCUCACUGACCUCCAGGUUGAGAAUUUUGUGACGCUGCCGGAGGGAGGCAGAGGCAGGCAGGAAGAAAACCCUGGAAACUCGCUGAUCAGGGGCGAGCCUGGACCGGGUGGGCUAAGAUGUUCGAAUGUUCCUUUAUUCCUCCAUCUCAACACCUUCUUUAUUUUCCAGUCGAACAAAGUGCCAGUGGUGCAGCACCCUCACCAUGUCCACCCCCUCACGCCUCUUAUCACGUACAGCAAUGAACACUUCACGCCAGGAAACCCACCUCCACACUUACCAGCCGACGUAGACCCCAAAACAGGAAUCCCACGGCCUCCGCACCCUCCAGAUAUAUCCCCGUAUUACCCACUAUCGCCUGGCACCGUAGGACAAAUCCCCCAUCCGCUAGGAUGGUUAGUACCACAGCAAGGUCAACCAGUGUACCCAAUCACGACAGGAGGAUUCAGACACCCCUACCCCACAGCUCUGACCGUCAAUGCUUCCAUGUC
rnacentral:sRNA from 1 species